rnacentral:rRNA from 1 species
UACGGAGGGGGCUAGCGUUGUUCGGAAUUACUGGGCGUAAAGCGCGCGUAGGCGGACCUGCAAGUCGGGGGUGAAAGCCCGAGGCUCAACCUCGGAACUGCCUUCGAUACUGCGGGUCUCGAGUCCGGGAGAGGUGAGUGGAAUUCUAGUGUAGAGGUGAAAUUCGUAGAUAUUAGGAAGAACACCAGUGGCGAAGGCGGCUCACUGGCCCGGUACUGACGCUGAGGCGCGGAAAAGCGUGGGGAGCAAACAGGG